UACGAAGGGGGCUAGCGUUGCUCGGAAUCACUGGGCGUAAAGCGCACGUAGGCGGCUUUUUAAGUCAGGGGUGAAAUCCUGGAGCUCAACUCCAGAACUGCCUUUGAUACUGAGAAGCUUGAGUCCGGGAGAGGUGAGUGGAACUGCGAGUGUAGAGGUGAAAUUCGUAGAUAUUCGCAAGAACACCAGUGGCGAAGGCGGCUCACUGGCCCGGUACUGACGCUGAGGUGCGAAAGCG
rnacentral:rRNA from 1 species